rnacentral:rRNA from 1 species
GAUGAACGCUGGCGGCGUGCUUAACACAUGCAAGUCGAGCGAAGCACUUAUGAAAGAUUCUUCGGAUGAUUUCAUUUGUGACUGAGCGGCGGACGGGUGAGUAACGCGUGGGUAACCUGCCUCAUACAGGGGGAUAACAGUUGGAAACGUCUGCUAAUACCGCAUAAGCGCACAGUACCGCAUGGUACCGUGUGAAAAACUCCGGUGGUAUGAGAGGGACCCGCGUCUGAUUAGCUAGUUGGUGGGGUAACGGCCUACCAAGGCGACGAUCAGUAGCCGACCAGAGAGGGUGAUCGGCCACAUUGGGACUGAGACACGGCCCAAACUCCUACGGGAGGCAGCAGUGGAGAAUAUUGCACAAUGGGGGAAACCCUGAUGCAGCAACGCCGCGUGAGUGAAGAAGUAUUUCGGUAUGUAAAGCUCUAUCAGCAGGGAAGAAAAUGACGGUACCUGACUAAGAAGCCCCGGCUAACUACGUGCCAGCCGCCGCGGUAA